GACGAACGCUGGCGGCGUGCUUAACACAUGCAAGUCGAACGGAAAGGCCCUGCUUUUGUGGGGUGCUCGAGUGGCGAACGGGUGAGUAACACGUGAGUAACCUGCCCUUGACUUUGGGAUAACUUCAGGAAACUGGGGCUAAUACCGGAUAGGAGCUCCUGCUGCAUGGUGGGGGUUGGAGAGUUUCGGCGGUUGGGGAUGGACUCGCGGCUUAUCAGCUUGUUGGUGGGGUAGUGGCUUACCAAGGCUUUGACGGGUAGCCGGCCUGAGAGGGUGACCGGCCACAUUGGGACUGAGAUACGGCCCAGACUCCUACGGGAGGCAGCAGUGGGGAAUAUUGCGCAAUGGGCGGAAGCCUGAUGCAGCAACGCCGCGUGCGGGAUGACGGCCUUCGGGUUGUAAACCGCUUUCGCCUGUGACGAAGCGUGAGUGACGGUAAUGGGUAAAGAAGCACCGGCUAACUACGUG
rnacentral:rRNA from 1 species